UUGUGUUAUGGUUUAAUUUACUGGAUUGUUUAACUCAAUUAAAGUCAAGCAACUGCACAUAAAACACGGUUUGUAUAUCCUUGCGAGAAAAGCAUCGUGUUGCACAGUCAGCACAAUUAUGUGGUAUUUUGUAUUCUGUAUCUGCAGCGUGAUUGGAAUCUUCAUUAUUGAUGGCAUUAUAGGAAAUGUCGGGAUUGAGAUGGUUGUCCCUACAACCUCUGCGAUUGGGGACGAUUCCCUUCAGUAUCAAACUUCUUUCUCAGAAUCUUUGGAAAAUCAGAGCGUGAUAUAUCAUGAAAUUGAUCCAUAGUUAUCUGUUUUCGAGACAGCCCUAGUAGAUGAUGGCGCUCUUAAUUCUCCACAGUCAUCAGCGGAAGCAUAUCGUUUUGAGGAUUUGGAGCGAAGAGAGUAAAAGUGGCGACCCGAUGUACAUUACUGCAGUUGCCGAAUGACUACGAUGAGAUUUUGUUAAAACCGUGUUCUAACAGUACAUUAUAGCAUAGACUGAAAUUAAACUCGGAUAAAAAAACACAGUAUUCGACAGCCAAUACAAGUCUAAAAUAUAACAGAAAUACAGCUUCAUGCAACCUAUGAACAUAGAAAGUUUUGAUCUUGACUUUCAAUGCGACUCAUCUGUUAUAUUGUCAUAUGGGCACAAUACAUAUUAAA